rnacentral:rRNA from 1 species
GCAUAACGCGAAGAACCUUACCAAGGCUUGACAUAUACGAGAACGCUGCAGAAAUGUAGAACUCUUUGGACACUCGUAAACAGGUGGUGCAUGGUUGUCGUCAGCUCGUGUCGUGAGAUGUUGGGUUAAGUCCCGCAACGAGCGCAACCCUCGUUCUAUGUUGCCAGCACGUAAUGGUGGGAACUCAUGGGAUACUGCCGGGGUCAACUCGGAGGAAGGUGGGGAUGACGUCAAAUCAUCAUGCCCCUUAUGUCUUGGGCUUCACGCAUGCUACAAUGGCCGGUACAAAGGGCUGCAAUACCGUAAGGUGGAGCGAAUCCCAAAAAGCCGGUCCCAGUUCGGAUUGAGGUCUGCAACUCGACCUCAUGAAGUCGGAGUCGCUAGUAAUCGCAGAUCAGCAACGCUGCGGUGAAUACGUUCCCGGGUCUUGUACACACCG